rnacentral:rRNA from 1 species
CCUACGGGAGGCAGCAGUGGGGAAUUUUGGACAAUGGGCGCAAGCCUGAUCCAGCCAUGCCGCGUGUGGGAAGAAGGCCUUCGGGUUGUAAACCACUUUUGUCAGGGAAGAAACGGUCUGAACUAAUACUUUGGACUAAUGACGGUACCUGAAGAAUAAGCACCGGCUAACUACGUGCCAGCAGCCGCGGUAAUACGUAGGGUGCAAGCGUUAAUCGGAAUUACUGGGCGUAAAGCGUGCGCAGGCGGCUUUGCAAGACAGAUGUGAAAUCCCCGGGCUCAACCUGGGAACUGCAUUUGUGACUGCAUGGCUAGAGUACGGUAGAGGGGGAUGGAAUUCCGCGUGUAGCAGUGAAAUGCGUAGAUAUGCGGAGGAACACCGAUGGCGAAGGCAAUCCCCUGGACCUGUACUGACGCUCAUGCACGAAAGCGUGGGGAGCAAACAGGAUUAGAUACCCUGGUAGUCCACGCCCUAAACGAUGUCAACUGGUUGUUGGGAGGGUUUCUUCUCAGUAACGAAGCUAACGCGUGAAGUUGACCGCCUGGGGAGUACGGCCGCAAGGUUGAAACUCAAAGAGUAGUAGCGGNGNGAGAGCGACGACGACGACGAGGAGGGAGGAGG